rnacentral:rRNA from 1 species
UACGUAGGGUGCAGGCGUUAAUCGGAAUUACUGGGCGUAAAGCGUGCGCAGGCGGUUUGCUAAGACAGGUGUGAAAUCCCCGGGCUUAACCUGGGAACUGCGCUUGUUACUGGCAGGCUUGAGUGUGGCAGAGGGGGGUGGAAUUCCACGUGUAGCAGUGAAAUGCGUAGAGAUGUGGAGGAACACCGAUGGCGAAGGCAGCCCC